CAAACGGCCCUUUUCAGGGCCACCAUAGUUUAAUGCAACUUACCG
rfam:Trichuris muris Edinburgh genomic scaffold, scaffold244